UUAAACAAGCCUCUAGUCCAUCAAGUUUUGUUGGUCUGUGGACAAUGCCUAAGAAAUGUCUCCAUCCCUUUCCUGGAACCAGAGCAGAAUCAAUGCAAAAGGAAUCUUUUCCUUCCCCGGGAUCCCGUGAGUCCUGUGUGGAACCUGGAAAUAGUAAUGGCAUCUAUGUCAAAGUGUGGCUGUGAGGAUUGGACUAGAUAAUGCAUGUAAAGACUCAAAACUUUGCCUGGCCUCUCGAAGGCUCUUAACAAGUAUUAUCUGUUAUUAUGAUGCAGCCUUUUAUACAUAUUGAUUCCUGAGGUACCAACAAGCCACUAACAUCUUCCAUCCCUACAAUGCAAGAAGGCCAACAAGAAUGUGGUGGGACAGCCCCUGGCUGGCACAGGCAGUGAACUUCUUCCAGACAUCAAGGGUUCCGCCAAAGAAACUUCUCUGCUUUCAAGGAUUCAUAGGAUUAGAUUGGUGUCAUGCAAAUAAUCCAGGAUGAUCCCCCUACCUUAAGUUAUUAAAAGAAAUAGAAGAUCUGAUCCACAGAAACACUGUGAUUGUCGCAGGGAAGCAUAUCCUAGAGGGCAUGCAGGCUAUUGAUAUUCUCUCCUCAAGCCGGCAACUCUCUGGAGAUCCAUGAGAAACACAGAAUCACAACAAAGACUGGAAAACAAAUGGAUGGAAUCAGAGACGGUUGCAGACACGUAAAUAGCUUUUCACGCUG